rnacentral:rRNA from 1 species
UACGGGGGGAGCAAGCGUUGUUCGGAUUUACUGGGCGUAAAGGGCGCGUAGGCGGCCAGCGCAAGUCAGUUGUGAAAUCUCCGGGCUUAACUCGGAAAGGUCAACUGAUACUGCGCGGCUAGAGUGCGGAAGGGGCAACUGGAAUUCUCGGUGUAGCGGUGAAAUGCGUAGAUAUCGAGAGGAACACCUGCGGCGAAGGCAAUCCCCUGGGCCUGCACUGACGCUCAUGCACGAAAGCGUGGGGAGCAAACAGG